AUUGCCCCUGUAACCUGUCAAAGAAGAGCUAAGGGAGCUUUCGAGGUUGGCUUCUUGGAGGCUGCUUUCUCCUUUACUUGGAAGGCUUCGCUAGUGAUGGACCCAUACGUGAUUCAGAUGAGCAGCAAAGGCAACCUCCCCUCAAUUCUGGACGUGCAUGUCAACGUUGGUGGGAGAAGCUCUGUGCCGGGAAAAAUGAAAGGCAGAAAGGCCAGGUGGUCUGUGAGGCCCUCAGACAUGGCCAAGAAAACUUUCAACCCCAUCCGAGCCAUUGUGGACAACAUGAAGGUGAAACCAAAUCCAAACAAAACCAUGAUUUCCCUGUCCAUUGGGGACCCUACUGUGUUUGGAAACCUGCCUACAGACCCUGAAGUUACCCAGGCAAUGAAAGAUGCUCUAGACUCGGGCAAAUAUAAUGGCUAUGCCCCAUCCAUCGGUAAGCUCCUCCUGCGACUCCAUACCUGGUGACUGCCAAAUCUUUAGUGCUCUUAUAACAGGACUAAAUGUCUAGCAAUCCUCUUCACUUUCCUGAUGCACAAUUCCUAAGGAGAGGCUAAGAUUACAUGGUCCUUUGGAUUUGGGAACUGGGUCUCGGGAUGCUUAAAUACAAGGCAUCAAGGUCCAACUUCUUUCCUGGCUUUCUUUGACAUAUGGGCACUUCCCCUCUAGGCUCCCAAACAUACUUAUUUGUCAAGUAAAGCUCCUAUCCUAUCAUUACUAAUUCUAAUCUGAAGGCCUUGAGUCUGGCAGGAGCUUUGUGUUUGCUGAGCCUCUAGGUCCUAAAUGGAUUUACUUAUUGCUCUGUGUAUAUAGCUCCUUUGCUUCAUUUCUGCUUCUCUAUGUAUUGAAGGCCUAUUGUCAUUAUGGUCCUGAGCACAUUGAAAUGCAAUUGUUACCAUUUAUGACUAACGGGUUUAAACAAACAAAUAAACAAACACCCAAGAACAUCAAAAAAUGGGCUGUCAAACUGAAGGAUAGAAGGUUGUUUCUGAUAGAUUGAAAUUACUCCUUUUUAGGUUUCUCUCCAUCUAUUAAAAAUUUCUACCCUGAAUAUUUUGGUAAAGUACAUGAUUCCUUGACUUUCAGUAUUGAACAUUUUUUUUCCUUAUGUGUACAUAGAAACACAUUCUUAAUGCAGAAUAAAACCCCAGUUUCAUGAUAAAAUCAAAUUUUAAAAACACUUUAAAGAGUUAUAUCGGGGACUUCGUGGUUUUUCGGUUGAUUACUUACAUUUUAUAAAGUUUCAUACAACAAAAAUGAAAACAAAAUCAAGACCAAAA
rnacentral:sRNA from 1 species